GGGGUUGUAGUUAAAAAUAACAUUUAAUUUGCAAUUAAAAAGAACUAAUAUAUUAGUCUGCCUCA
rnacentral:tRNA from 1 species